GAUGAACGCUGGCGGCGUGCCUAAUACAUGCAAGUCGAGCGAACGGACGAGAAGCUUGCUUCUCUGAUGUUAGCGGCGGACGGGUGAGUAACACGUGGAUAACCUACCUAUAAGACUGGGAUAACUUCGGGAAACCGGAGCUAAUACCGGAUAAUAUUUUGAACCGCAUGGUUCAAAAGUGAAAGACGGUCUUGCUGUCACUUAUAGAUGGAUCCGCGCUGCAUUAGCUAGUUGGUAAGGUAACGGCUUACCAAGGCAACGAUGCAUAGCCGACCUGAGAGGGUGAUCGGCCACACUGGAACUGAGACACGGUCCAGACUCCUACGGGAGGCAGCGGUAGGGAAUCUUCCGCAAUGGGCGAAAGCCUGACGGGGCAACGCCGCGUGAGUGAUGAAGGUCUUCGGAUCGUAAAACUCUGUUAUUAGGGAAGAAAAUAUGUGUAAGUAACUGUGCACAUCUUGACGGUACCUAAUCAGAAAGCCACGGCUAACUACGUG
rnacentral:rRNA from 1 species